UACGUAGGGGGCAAGCGUUGUCCGGAAUCAUUGGGCGUAAAGAGCGCCGUAGGCGGUCCAGUAAGUCCGCUCUGAAAGUCCGGGGCUCAACCCCGGGAGGCGGGCGGAUACUGCUGGGCUAGAGUCCGGAAGAGGCGAGUGGAAUUCCUGGGUGUAGCGGUGGAAUGCGCAGAUAUCAGGAGGAACACCAAUAGCGAAGGCAGCUCGCUGGGACGUUACUGACACUGAGGCGCGAAAGCGUGGGGAGCGAACAGG
rnacentral:rRNA from 1 species